rnacentral:rRNA from 1 species
AUUGAACGCUGGCGGCAGGCCUAACACAUGCAAGUCGAGCGAGCGGCGGACGGGUGAGUAAUGUCUGGGAAACUGCCUGAUGGGAGGGGAUAACUUCUGGAAACGGUAGCUAAUACCGCAUACCGUCAUCUCUGCCCAGAGGGGAUUAGCUAGUUGGUGAGGUAAAGGCUCACCAAGCCGACGAUCUCUAGCUGGUCUGAGAGGAUGACCAGCCACACUGGAACUGAGACACGGCCCAGACUCCUACGGGAGGCAGCAGUGGGGAAUAGUGCGCAAUGGGCGCAAGCCUGACGCAGCCAUGCCGCGUGAAUGAAGAAGGCCUUCGGGUUGUAAAGUUCUGUCGGUAGCGAGGCGGUAACUACAGAAGAAGCACCGGCUAACUCCGUGCCAGCAGCCGCGGUAAUAC